GGCAGUGUGGCCGAGUGGUCUAAGGCGCUGGUUUAAGGCACCAGUCAUAAAUGUGGCGUGGGUUCGAAUCCCACCGCUGUCA